CCUACGGGUGGCAGCAGUGAGGACUAUUCGUCAAUGGGCGCGAGCCUGAACCAGCCACGUAGCGUGAAGGAUGACUGCCCUACGGUCGUUAAACUUCUUUUAUAAAGGAAUAAAGUGAGGCACGUGUGCCUUUUUGUCUUUACUUUAUGAAUACAGAUCGGCUAACUUCGUGCCAGCAGCCGCGGUAAUACGGAGGGUCCGAGCGUUAUCCGGAUUUAUUGGGUUUAAAGGGAGCGCAGAUGGGUUGUUAAGUCAGUUGUGAAAGUUUGCGGCUCAACCGGAAAAGUGCAAUUGAUACUGGCAGACUUGAGUACAGAUGAGGUAGGCGGAAUUCGUGGUGUAGCGGUGAAAUGCUUAGAUAUAACGAAGAACUCCGAUUGCGAAGGCAGCCUACUAAACUGCCACUGACAUUGAUGCUCGAAAGUGUGGGUAUCAAACAGGAUUAGAUACCCCGGUAGUC
rnacentral:rRNA from 1 species